AAUCAAAAGGCACUUGUAACUUGUAAGAGUUAAUCUUUAAACGUAGAAUUGGUAUAAUUUAAGUUGAUAGCGAUUAAGACAAUAUUUGAUUAUGCAACCAUAUAAUGAACAAUUCUAAUAGAAAACCCAAUUUGAUACUUCAAUCAUCUCCUAAACAAUUCUAAGUGAAAACUUUACAAUAAACAUCAACUUAUAUAUGCAUACAUUUAUUACAUUCAUCGUCAGUAUUGAACAAAUUAGAUUGUAUGUAUAUCGUUCUUACAAGCCAUUUGUAGGUAAAACAACAUCAAAUGAAUAUUUCCCCAACACAAGAUAGUUUGAUAGAGGUAUUUUGAUAAUGAUCUAAAAGAACACAUCCAUGCAAACGAACAUAGACCAAAGAAAAAUUGUUACUAAAAUGGAAGGGGCCGCGCGAACGCAGGCCCCCACUACAACAAAUUAUGAUGUAGGCUCCACCACAUGGGUAGACCUUAAGCUAGCACCCCUUCUAUGUGCAAUGAAGGUCACUUGCUUAGGCCAUGGGCCAUCUUGAUCACCCAUUGACCCCAUCCAGGUUCUGAACUCGAAUUACCAGAGCUAGCACAAAUAUAUGGUUAUAGUGAACCUGUUCAACCUAGUUAAUGUUUCAUAUUGAAAGUAACAAUGUUAACUUUGUAGAAGCAUAUACAUUGUAAAGCUUGUAGACGAGUUGUUUGUCCUUUGUAUUUAUACUUACACAUGCACAUAUUGAAAAAUCAUAUGUUCUUCAUCUGAUAGGAAGAACACCAUCAAUAGAUAACAACAAACUAAUGUUUUGAAUAAGAGCGAUGGAUAAAUAUUAUUUACAAUAUAAAAAUCUUUUUGGUAGAUUAUAAAAA